GUCAGGACAAAGGGAAUGGGCCCUGAAACGGAUAGCUUCCGGUUUCCACGGGUGUUUUACCCUUUUGAGAAUGGAGUUCUUACAAAUGCAAUGGGCAUCAUUUACUUUUUUUCUUUUCUUUGUUCGCGGUUCUAGGGAUGAAACCCAAGGGCUCCUCUAUUGCAAUCAGGCGCGUCCCUGCUGAGCCACGUUCCCACACCCAAAAUACAUCGGGAAGGGAAGGGAAGAUAGUCCAAUAUGAUUGGUGUCCUCAUGAGAAGAAUGAACUUUAGACACUGAAUCAGGAAGAAUACCAUGUGAAGGCAGAAGCAGAGAGGCAUCUUCUGGGUGAGGAACGCCUGCCUGGGUCCCCAGACAUUGGAACAGCAUGCACAUUCUCCUGAGACUGCAGAGGAACACAGUUCUCUGGUAUCUUGACUUCAGACUUACAGCCCCCAAAUGUCUGCUGUUUUAUGCCAAUUCACUUUUAGUUAAUUUUAAGGCAGCCCUUAGAACCCAAUUCAGUAUCAAAGAAAUUAUUAGCAAAGCAACUCAAUUGCUAUAGCAAACUUAAUUUCUUUUCUUCAAAAAUUAAGUUUAUAAUUAAUAACUUCAGCCAUUAACUGAGACUUUCUCAUCUUCUUGAUGUUAUUGGCCGAGAACAUAUUCCAACAGGAAGUGUCUUUUAUUUUUCCCCCCGAAGUUGGUCAUAAAUGUUUGAUUUCUAAGGUCUGGGGCAAAGGCAAGCCUUUACAAAAGAAAGCUGGGUGGAGGUGAGACUGUAUAUGCAACACCUUUCUAAGCUUUGUUCUCCUGAGUCUGAUGUACUAGCAAUAUAGCCGUGGUUGAAGGUAUUCAUUCUUCUGUUGCCUGAGAUAUUAAUUUUUUCCAGGUUUGCCUAUUUGUUUACUAAUAAUACCCAUAUUUAGGCAAAAUAGUGGGCAUUGCAUGACACAUGAUAUUUUUAACAACAUAAUUAAGAAAUUCUGCUGUGGUGGUAGACUGAUGAGAGUAAAGAAACUCUAGAAUUGGGGAAAUGAGCUCUAGAAUUGUUGCCAAAAACUAUUCAUAUAAAGUGAGAACUGUGUUCUGUAGGAAACUACAGGCUACUUGAUUUCUAGAGGACACAACAACGUUGAUUUAUGAAAGAUGUUUAAUGUGAGUGGGAGGGAAUAUUGAUGGAGAGACAGAAAGAGAAAGAGGCUAAACAUUUAUUAAUAAG
rnacentral:lncRNA from 1 species